rnacentral:rRNA from 1 species
AUGAUGAAAUCCUUUGUUGUGCCGGUGAUCCUGAUGUUGGCGAUCACGGCGCUCUUCGUCGGGUCGAGCUCGGCGCGGCGGUUGGGCGGCAAUGUGCAGACCGGAGAGUCCGCUGCCGGCGUAGUCACCGGCGAGUCCAUCCUCCAGCUUCUCCAGCGACUGUAUCUGCAGAAUCUUCAGGGGCCGUCGUGCAAGACGAACAACCCCAAUGGUGGAUGCCCGCCCCCACCUUCAGGUUGA